ACGGGAGGCAGCAGUGAGGAAUAUUGGUCAAUGGUCGGAAGACUGAACCAGCCAAGUCGCGUGCAGGAAGACGGUCCUAUGGAUUGUAAACUGCUUUUGUACGGGAAUAAAGUGCAGGACGUGUCCUGUUUGGAAUGUACCGUAAGAAUAAGGGUCGGCUAACUCCGUGCCAGCAGCCGCGGUAAUACGGAGGACCCGAGCGUUAUCCGGAUUUAUUGGGUUUAAAGGGUGCGCAGGCGGAGGAUUUAGUCAGCGGUGAAAUUUUCAUGCUCAACAUGAAAACUGCCAUUGAUACUGGUCCCCUUGAGAGAUGUCGAGGAUGGCGGAAUGUGAUGUGUAGCGGUGAAAUGCUCAGAUAUGUCACAGAACACCGAUUGCGAAGGCAGCUGUCCAGAGAUCAUCUGACGCUCAGGCACGGAAGCAUGGGUAUCAAACAGGAUUAGAUACCCUGGUA
rnacentral:rRNA from 1 species